rnacentral:rRNA from 1 species
AGAGAAUACCAAGGCGCUUGAGAGAACUCGGGUGAAGGAACUAGGCAAAAUGGCACCGUAACUUCGGGAGAAGGUGCGCCGGUUAGGGUGAAGGACUUGCUCCGUAAGCUCUGGCCGGUCGAAGAUACCAGGUGGCUGCGACUGUUUAUUAAAAACACAGCACUCUGCAAACACGAAAGUGGACGUAUAGGGUGUGACGCCUGCCCGGUGCCGGAAGGUUAAUUGAUGGGGUUAUCUUCGGAGAAGCUCUUGAUCGAAGCCCCGGUAAACGGCGGCCGUAACUAUAACGGUCCUAAGGUAGCGAAAUUCCUUGUCGGGUAAGUUCCGACCUGCACGAAUGGCGUAACGAUGGCCACACUGUCUCCACCCGAGACUCAGUGAAAUUGAAAUUGCGGUUAAGAUGCCGUAUACCCGCGGCUAGACGGAAAGACCCCGUGAACCUUUACUAUAGCUUCACAGUGAACUUUGAAUUGUCUUGUGUAGGAUAGCUGGGAGGCUUUGAAGCGAGGACGCCAGUCCUUGUGGAGCCAAUCUUGAAAUACCAGCCUGGUCAAUUUGGGGUUCUAACUCUGGUCCAUUAUCUGGAUCGAGGACACUGUGUGGUGGGUAGUUUGACUGGGGCGGUCUCCUCCCAAAGAGUAACGGAGGAGCACGAAGGUCGGCUAAUCUUGGUCGGACAUCAAGAGGUUAGUGCAAUGGCAUAAGCCGGCUUAACUGCGAGACAGACACGUCGAGCAGGUACGAAAGUAGGUCAUAGUGAUCCGGUGGUUCUGUAUGGAAGGGCCAUCGCUCAACGGAUAAAAGGUACUCCGGGGAUAACAGGCUGAUACCGCCCAAGAGUUCACAUCGACGGCGGUGUUUGGCACCUCGAUGUCGGCUCAUCACAUCCUGGGGCUGAAGCCGGUCCCAAGGGUAUGGCUGUUCGCCAUUUAAAGUGGUACGCGAGCUGGGUUUAGAACGUCGUGAGACAGUUCGGUCCCUAUCUGCCGUGGGCGUUUGAGAUUUGAGAAGAGCUGCUCCUAGUACGAGAGGACCGGAGUGGACGAACCUCUGGUGUUCCGGUUGUCACGCCCGUGGCAUUGCCGGGUAGCUACGUUCGGACAGGAUAACCGCUGAAAGCAUCUAAGCGGGAAGCCCCCUUCAAGAUGAGAUCUCACUGACUCCUUGAGAGUCCUGUAGGGCCCUUGAAGACUACAAGGUUGAUAGGUCAGGUGUGUAAGCGUUGUGAGGCGUUGAGCUAACUGAUACUAAUUGCCCGUGAGGCUUGACCAUAUAACACCCAA